AAUGAAGAGUCGCAUCUUCCCUUUGAGCCCAAGAAACAGUGAGACAUAAUGAGCUUUUUUCUAUUUGAAGAGGUUUUAUUAUUACUUUCUAAGCUUUCAAAUUUUUUUGGAGAAUCUGAGUAAAAUGUUAGAGGCUUUCUACAGUAGUUUUUAUGGGUUGAGUGUCUAAUUAUUUCUCAGUUCUCUUCUAAGUUUCACAGAUAGGAAUCUCAACUCAUAGAAAGAUUAAACCCACAACAUGCUCUGUCUUGCACUGGAGUUCCCCAGGCCUGAGCUGGGAGCUCAAUCUUUUGCUGCGUGGAAAUGCAUGAAGGAAGGUAUGUACAAAAACCAAGCAGGAGCCAUCCUGGCUGCUUAGCCGAACUGCACCAGAACCUAACAAGUCCAUAAGGGAGCUGUCUGCUUUCGCUAAAAGCUGUCAGUUGGGAACUCUGGGAAUACACAGCCCCUUGCUAGGCUAGGUCUGCCUUUCCAAAGGAAAUGACAUGCAGGUAGUCCCCCUGUUCCCCAUUUUUUUGUCUGGCCAACAGGCACACACUUAGAGAACUCCUCUGGGGAGCCGGCAGCUGUUCUGAAGUACUCCGUGUAUUCAAAAUACCAACUUUGAAGAACACACCUGCAGUGCAAGCACUAGAAAAUUGGAGGUUAUAGGGUGGGCCUCUUUCAGGAUUCUGCAUUUGUGAAAGUAGCUACUUAGAUACCUGAGUCUCUACUGAGAGUAAUAGUAAUGAAACUCGUAUUACAAGUCUCCACUGUCCUUUAAGGAGUCGUUAUAUGAUCUCAAGGUACCCACUGGACUGGCUCCUGUAGAUAAGAAAGGCAGAUGCUCGCAUCUCCAGCAGGGAGGCCAAACCUCUGAUGACGAUUCUCUUCUUCUGGUCAAAAUGUCAUCUCCAGCAUCUGCUACCUGACCCUAACUGCAGAAGAGCUUUAUUCGCUGGAACAGCAGUUUUUUCCAACUCAUGCAAGAGACUUUUCUCCAGAAUGGGCUUUUAUUUAAAGAAAACUCUCAGAGGUAAGACUAGAUACCAUGUUCCACAAGGUUACUAUUACAGUUGCUUUCCACAUCUUCCUUCUCUGACACCCCUGGCUAGUGUGUCCCCUGUCUACACCUUCUCACCAACAAGCUUUGGUCUUUCUUCUGGUCUGGUGGUUCAUUCAUCUCAAUACAGC
ensembl:lncRNA